GACGACCCCCGGCUAGCCCGCUCCGUCCCGUCCCUUCGCGCCCUCUCACCAUCUUGAUAUGCCCCUUCAGCUUGGAAACCAGGCGGCCGUAGGAGCUGGCCAGUGUCAAGGUGUAGACCAUCAGGACGCUGGGGGAGAGUUGCACAGCACGGGGAUAGCCGAGAUGGCCAAGCCCAGGAGCAGCAUCAACGGGAAGAAGAAGUUUGCUGUGGAGGCCCGGAAGGUGCGAGAGGCCGGAGAGCAGAAGGUGAUCUGACUCCAGAGGGAUGCAAGGAGGACCGCGAGUGAAGCCAGGCGGAGAAACACGGUCCUGGGUGGGGGUAAAGGAAGACAGAGUGUGAAGUGAUAGCAGAGCCCAACCCAGGUGUCUAAGGCUGGAUCUGACCCCAGAGCCAG